rnacentral:rRNA from 1 species
UACGUAGGGGGCAAGCGUUGUCCGGAUUUACUGGGCGUAAAGCGCGCGUAGGCGGAACUUCAAGUCCGGUCUGAAAGCCCCCGGCUCAACCGGGGAGGGUGGCUGGAAACUGGGGUUCUUGAGGGCGAGAGAGGAGGGUGGAAUUCCUGGUGUAGCGGUGAAAUGCGUAGAGAUCAGGAAGAACACCGGUGGCGAAAGCGCUCUGCUGGACCUUAACUGACACUGAGGGACGAAAGCUAGGGGAGCGAAUGGG